rnacentral:rRNA from 1 species
GAGUUUGAUCCUGGCUCAGAGCGAACGCUGGCGGACGCUUUAGACAUGCAAGUCGAGCGAGAAAGCGGCAUUCGGUCGCAAGUAUAGCGGCGGACGGGUGCGUAUAACGUGGAUAACCUGCCUUAAGGACCGGGACAACCUUGGGAAACCAAGGCUAAUACCGGAUAUGACCACGAUGUCUGAGGGCAACGGGGUAAAAGAUGACCGUUUACGGUUGUCGCCUUUUGAGGGGUCCACGUCCUAUCAGGUAGUUGGUGGGGUAAAGGCCUACCAAGCCAAAGACGGGUAGCCGGCCUUAGCGGGUGAUCGGCCACACGGGGACUGAGACACGGCCCCGACUCCUACGGGAGGCAGCAGUGGGGAAUAUUGGGCAAUGGGCGACAAGCCUGACCCAGAGAUGCCGCGUGAGGGCAAGAAGGCCUUCGGGUUGUAACCUAUGUCAAGAGGGAAGAACGGGUCUGCAAAUUACUUGCGGGGCUUGACUGUACCUCCCAGGAGGAAGCCCGGUACUCCGUGCCAGUCAGCUCGUGGUAAUACCGGAGGGGGCAAAGACGGUUGCUACGGAAAUAACUGGGCCGUUAAAGAGGUCACGUAGUGGAUCUUGCAAGUUGGGAGUGGUNACAAGCCACGGAGGCUUAUACAUCACAGGAAGUUGCUUCCAAAAGC